GGCGUGCCUAAUACAUGCAAGUCGAGCGGACAGAUGGGAGCUUGCUCCCUGAUGUUAGCGGCGGACGGGUGAGUAACACGUGGGUAACCUGCCUGUAAGACUGGGAUAACUCCGGGAAACCGGGGCUAAUACCGGAUGGUUGUUUGAACCGCAUGGUUCAAACAUAAAAGGUGGCUUCGGCUACCACUUACAGAUGGACCCGCGGCGCAUUAGCUAGUUGGUGAGGUAACGGCUCACCAAGGCAACGAUGCGUAGCCGACCUGAGAGGGUGAUCGGCCACACUGGGACUGAGACACGGCCCAGACUCCUACGGGAGGCAGCAGUAGGGAAUCUUCCGCAAUGGACGAAAGUCUGACGGAGCAACGCCGCGUGAGUGAUGAAGGUUUUCGGAUCGUAAAGCUCUGUUGUUAGGGAAGAACAAGUACCGUUCGAAUAGGGCGGUACCUUGACGGUACCUAACCAGAAAGCCACGGCUAACUACGUGCCAGCAGCCGCGGUAAUACGUAGGUGGCAAGCGUUGUCCGGAAUUAUUGGGCGUAAAGGGCUCGCAGGCGGUUUCUUAAGUCUGAUGUGAAAGCCCCCGGCUCAACCGGGGAGGGUCAUUGGAAACUGGGGAACUUGAGUGCAGAAGAGGAGAGUGGAAUUCCACGUGUAGCGGUGAAAUGCGUAGAGAUGUGGAGGAACACCAGUGGCGAAGGCGACUCUCUGGUCUGUAACUGACGCUGAGGAGCGAAAGCGUGGGGAGCGAACAGGAUUAGAUACCCUGGUAGUCCACGCCGUAAACGAUGAGUGCUAAGUGUUAGGGGGUUUCCGCCCCUUAGUGCUGCAGCUAACGCAUUAAGCACUCCGCCUGGGGAGUACGGUCGCAAGACUGAAACUCAAAGGAAUUGACGGGGGCCCGCACAAGCGGUGGAGCAUGUGGUCUAAUUCGAAGCAACGCGAAGAACCUUACCAGGUCUUGACAUCCUCUGACAAUCCUAGAGAUAGGACGUCCCCUUCGGGGGCAGAGUGACAGGUGGUGCAUGGUUGUCGUCAGCUCGUGUCGUGAGAUGUUGGGUUAAGUCCCGCAACGAGCGCAACCCUUGAUCUUAGUUGCCAGCAUUCAGUCGGGCACUCUAAGGUGACUGCCGGUGACAAACCGGAGGAAGGUGGGGAUGACGUCAAAUCAUCAUGCCCCUUAUGACCUGGGCUACACACGUGCUACAAUGGACAGAACAAAGGGCAGCGAAACCGCGAGGUUAAGCCAAUCCCACAAAUCUGUUCUCAGUUCGGAUCGCAGUCUGCAACUCGACUGCGUGAAGCUGGAAUCGCUAGUAAUCGCGGAUCAGCAUGCCGCGGUGAAUACGUUCCCGGGCCUUGUACACGCCGCCCGUCACACCACGGGAGUUUGUAACACCCGAAGUCGGUGAGGUAACCUUUUAGGAGCCAGCCGCCGAAGGUGGGACAGAUGAUUGGGGUGAAGUCGUAACAAGGUAGCCGUAUCGGAAGGUGCGGCUG
rnacentral:rRNA from 1 species